rfam:Parcubacteria (Moranbacteria) bacterium GW2011_GWF2_35_39 TR78_C0003, whole genome shotgun sequence.
GCCGAGUUAGCUCAGUGGUAGAGCAGAGGACUGAAAAUCCUUGUGUCCCCGGUUCAAUCCCGGGACUCGGCA